AGGAUCUCACUAAGUUGUCAAGGCUGGGCUCAAAUUUGUGAUCCUCCUGCCUCGGUCUCCUGAGUACCUGAGGUUAUAGUGUUGUUGAAGAGCCUGAAGCUCCUGUCUUCUUAUUGGAGACUGAACUUGGAAUGACAACUUCUCCUCUGUGGGACUCAUCUUCAGAUGUAAUAGCCCUGCAUGAUCUGACCAGAUUCUCUGCCUGGAUUCUUACCCUGCUGCCUGCUCUGACUCCUGGUAACUGCCUUUCCUCCUUUGGUCUGGGUCCUCUUCUAGUGACAGUUAUACCUACUCAGUAGCCCGG